rnacentral:tRNA from 1 species
UGGCUCAGACGGUAAAGCGUCUGUCUGCAAUGCAGGAGACCCGGGUUUGAUCCCUGG